rnacentral:rRNA from 1 species
AACGUACGCUGGCGGCACGCCUUAUACAUGCAAGUCGAACGAAGUAGCAAUACUUAGUGGCAGACGGGUGAGUAACAUGUAGGUAUCUACCCUUUGGUGAGGAAUAACACGAGGAAACUUGUGCUAAUACCUCAUAAGUCUUUACGGAGAAAGCUUUAUGCGCCGAAGGAUGAGCCUGCACUUGAUUAGUUUGUUGGUGGGGUAAUGGCCUACCAAGACUUUGAUCUAUAGCUGAUCUGAGAGGAUGAUCAGCCACAUUGGGACUGAAACACGGCCCAAACUCCUACGGGAGGCAGCAGUAGGGAAUAUUGCACAAUGGAGGAAACUCUGAUGCAGCGAUGCCGCGUGAGUGAAGAAGGCCUUUGGGUUGUAAAGCUCUUUCGUCGGGGAAGAAAAUGACUGUACCCGAAUAAGAAGGUCCGGCUAACUUCG